ensembl:lncRNA
CUCGACAAAAGUAUAUAAAAAUGCAUCAAUGCACUUUAUAAAUUGCAUGGUGUACCAAAACCUAAUGUCUACUCUACCACACAGUGUUAGUCAACAUGGACCCUGCUUCAAGUUCUCAGUCCAAAUGGGGAAAAAUAAGAACCAAGAUAUAUCAUGUAAAGACUACUGCAGUGACUUCUAGCCUCCAGCCCAUCUUCCACAUUACUGCUCAAAUCUUCUUCUGAAAAAGAUAAUUCAACUGCUGACAAGAGGAGACUUCAUGGGGACAAGAAUUCACGUGACUUUUUCUAAUAGUGGGACAAGAAGAGCAGGUUAACGAUCUUCACCCUCCAAAAUAAACCCUCAACAUGGACUUCUGUAACUUUCUGGAAAGGACUCAAACAUAUAGAAAAGAAGCAUCAAUGUAAAGAACCUCUAAACUUUAUUCUUUUUGUUAUCUUCUGAACUCCAGUAAUGAUCAAUGGUUAAUCUUGAGAAGGAAAAGGACCCAUGAGCUCAAAUGGAGUUACAGCAAAGAAAUGAGUGGGAAAGGAAGGGAAUGGACAGCAGCUAUUGAAAGGGAAGAACAGGGGCCCCAGGUACUGGCGAAAGGAAGGUUAGGGUGUCAACUGGGUCUGAGAAGGGACCAUUUGGCUGGACAAGGUCCGCAUGCAGCUCCCAGCACACACUUGUGCAUUCCUGCCCCAGCAUUUGCUCACACCAGUCCCUGCCUAAAAUGCCUGACAUUCUCCCUCUCUGCUCUCUCAUGGAAUACAUUUUUACUAAAUGCCUAUAAGUGCCAGAUGCUCUGAAUACAAAGUAUGUCAGAGAUGAAGGUCUGUACAGUCAUUAAAAUGGACUGGUAUUUCACUAGAUCUCCAUUUGGCAUAAAAGAUUAGGGUUCUAUCUUACACCACUCAGAAAAAUAAAUUCUAGAUAAUUUGUAACUAUCAAAUAAAACUGCAGAGUUCGAUCCCUGGUACCAAAAAAACCCACCAAAACUAUAGAAAUACUCAAAAGAAUGCAGAAGAUAUUAUGAUCUAAGGUAGUGAC